AUCUGGGUGGCUCAGCUGGUUAAGCAUCUGACUUCGGCUCAGGUGAUGAUCUUGCAGUUCGUGAGUUCAAGUCCCAUCUUAGGCU
rnacentral:tRNA from 1 species